UACGAAGGGGGCUAGCGUUGGUCGGAAUUACUGGGCGUAAAGCGGGUGUAGGCGGAUCGCUAAGUCGGGGGUGAAAGCCCAGGGCUCAACCCUGGAAUUGCCUUCGAUACUGGCGGUCUCGAGUUCAAGAGAGGUGAGCGGAAUUCCGAGUGUAGAGGUGAAAUUCGUAGAUAUUCGGAGGAACACCAGAGGCGAAGGCGGCUCACUGGACUGAUACUGAGGCUGAGACCCGAAAGCGUGGGGAGCAAACAGG
rnacentral:rRNA from 1 species